AAUCCUUUAGAGAUAGAGGAGUGCUCGAAAGAGAGCCGUAACACAGGUGCUGCAUGGCUGUCGUCAGCUCGUGUCGUGAGAUGUUGGGUUAAGUCCCGCAACGAGCGCAACCCUUGCAAAUAGUUGCUACGAAAGGGCACUCUAAUGGGACUGCCGGUAACAAACCGGAGGAAGGUGGGGAUGACGUCAAGUCCUCAUGGCCCUUAUAGGUGGGGCUACACACGUCAUACAAUGGCUGGUACAGAGGGUUGCCAACCCGCGAGGGGGAGCUAAUCCCAUAAAGCCAGUCGUAGUCCGGAUCGCAGUCUGCAACUCGACUGCGUGAAGUCGGAAUCGCUAGUAAUCGCGGAUCAGAAUGUCGCGGUGAAUACGUUCCCGGGUCUUGUACACACCGCCCGUCACACCAUGGGAGCGGGUUCUGCCAGAAGUAGGUAGCCUAACCGUAAGGAGGGCGCUUACCACGGCAGGGUUCGUGACUGGGGUGAAGUCGUAACAAGGUAACC
rnacentral:rRNA from 1 species